CACAGCCAAGCCCCUAAACGAUACGCAAGCCCCGGAAGUUUCCGCUUCCCCGCUCGUGGCUGCAGGCGGCGGCGGCGGACAGACCGCGCCGAAGGAAGAAGCCGAGACUGGGACUGAGCCUGAGCUAGUGAAAACGGACACUGAGGAAACAUAAUCGUCACUCAGUAGAGAAAAACCUCCUCGGGUGCUUUGAUAUCUGGAGAAGAAGAAACAGCCCACCUGCACACAUUUGCUUACUUCACGCUUCUCG
ensembl:lncRNA